AACGAACGCUGGCGGCAUGCCUAACACAUGCAAGUCGAACGAGACCUUCGGGUCUAGUGGCGCACGGGUGCGUAACGCGUGGGAACCUGCCCUUAGGUUCGGAAUAACUCCCCGAAAGGGGUGCUAAUACCGGAUAAUGUCUUCGGACCAAAGAUUUAUCGCCUUUGGAUGGGCCCGCGUUGGAUUAGCUAGUUGGUAGGGUAAAAGCCUACCAGGGCGACGAUCCAUAGCUGGUCUGAGAGGAUGAUCAGCCACACUGGGACUGAGACACGGCCCAGACUCCUACGGGAGGCAGCAGUGGGGAAUAUUGGACAAUGGGCGAAAGCCUGAUCCAGCAAUGCCGCGUGAGUGAUGAAGGCCUUAGGGUUGUAAAGCUCUUUUACCCGGGAUGAUAAUGACAGUACCGGGAGAAUAAGCUCCGGCUAACUACGUG
rnacentral:rRNA from 1 species